GUACCUAUAGCUCAGCUGGUAGAGCAUCUGGUUGUGGUCCAGAGGGUCGCCGGUUCAAGUCCGGUUAGGUACCCCA
rnacentral:tRNA from 1 species